GAUGAACGCUGGCGGCGUGCCUAAUACAUGCCAGUCGAGCGAACGGACGAGAAGCUUGCUUCUCUGAUGUUAGCGGCGGACGGGUGAGUAACACGUGGAUAACCUACCUAUAAGACUGGGAUAACUUCGGGAAACCGGAGCUAAUACCGGAUAAUAUUUUGAACCGCAUGGUUCAAAAGUGAAAGACGGUCUUGCUGUCACUUAUAGAUGGAUCCGCGCUGCAUUAGCUAGUUGGUAAGGUAACGGCUUACCAAGGCAACGAUGCAUAGCCGACCUGAGAGGGUGAUCGGCCACACUGGAACUGAGACACGGUCCAGACUCCUACGGGAGGCAGCAGUAGGGAAUCUUCCGCAAUGGGCGAAAGCCUGACGGAGCAACGCCGCGUGAGUGAUGAAGGUCUUCGGAUCGUAAAACUCUGUUAUUAGGGAAGAACAUAUGUGUAAGUAACUGUGCACAUCUUGACGGUACCUAGUCAGAAAGCCACGGCUAACUACGUG
rnacentral:rRNA from 1 species